UCGCCCUUCCCGCUUCUCGAGAAGGAAUGUGAAAACAUAACUUUUUGGAUUUUAAAUGAAAAGAAAACGAAAAGGCAUCCUAAUUAACCCACGGCCCGAACCAAAUCCCGUCAAAAAAAAGAAAGAAAAUCCCAAAGAGAGGGACCAGCCGUCUUCCUCCUCCGCUCCCCCAACCUCCGACCCCAUCGCCGCCGCCGCCGACCUCCUCUUCUCCCCCACUGCCACCACACCAGCAGCCGCGACCAUGGAGGUUCGGCCCUCUCUUUCUCGCGCCCCAAACCCUAGCUGCGGCGGGGCAAACGCAUCGCAUCGCUCCACAUCCGAGCACCCCCAAGCAGCGCCGCCGCGUCCACCUCUCUCACCCAGCACCCGCAUCCAUGGCGAUCCGCGGCCAUGGAGUCCUUCCUUGUAGGUAGGGAGAGACAGUCGCGCCACGCGCCGGGAGAGGAAAAAGGACUCCUCCUUCCUUCCACCCCCAACCACCGCCGCCAGGAUCCGCAAGAAGAGCAACAUCCACAAGGGGAGGAACAAGGCCGACAGCCACUGGCAUGCGCCGGGAGAGGCAGAGGAGUCCUCCAUUUGCUUCUUCCCGUCCCCAUCUCCUCUCUCUGUUCGGCUCCUCUCUCUGUUCUUUCCUUCAGAUUCAAACACGCACCAGCAGAUUCCUGUAUUCAUUAUUAUUAUGUGGCUCAAAAGUUGAAGCUUGCUGUGCCUGCAAUUAGGGAUUGAUUGAUUGUUGCAGAAUUGGCCAUGGCUUACGACAAGGCGGUGCGAGUAGGGGCUGACCAACUUCGAGCCCAAGGCAGGAGCAUGUGACGGUGACCUUGGCCUGCAACCUUGGGGUGGCAAGCCUGUUGUCUGCUCUUCCCCGACAUCCUUCGCUCGGUCGCACCUCGUGGACAUGGUUGCUGGUUCAGUUGGUGCAAGGUUGUAGGUUCGGCCAACUCUUGUUUCCGUCACCGGUGACAGCGUGGUUUGACCUCGGCUACAAAUAAUUAAAGGGCUUACGACAAGGCGGUGUGAGUAGUUGGUGACCAAAUUCGAGCCCAAGGCAGCAGCAUGCGACGACGACCUUGGCCUGCAACUCUUCGGGUGGCAAGCCUGUUCUUUGCUCUUCCCCGAGAUCCUUCGCGUGGUCACGCCUCCUGGCCAUGGCUGCCGGCUCAGUUUGUGCAUGGUCGUAGGCUCUGCCAACUCUUGUCUCUGUCAUCGGUGAUUGUGUGGUUCGGCCACGGCUACAAACAAUUAACGGCUCGUCAGUUCGACCGGAACGACACUGCAUUAAAUUCAAACAGAAGCCUUUGUUGGCUGCGGGCUGGGCAGGGUGAGCGUGCGUGGCUUGGAGGAUGCUAGAGCAUGCGAAGCACUGAGGCCAGACAGGGUGAAAGCUUGUUUUUAGGGAAGGCGUAGCAGUGCAAUUGCUGCAGGCUAUUGAAUUUGACCGGAAUGACGCCACAUUGUUGGAUGUGGACCGGGCAAGGUGAGCGUGCCAAGCACCGAGGACAAACUUGGUGAAAGCUUUCUUUCAAGGAAGGCACAACUAUGCGCUUGCUGCAGGCUCGAGUUUGACCGGAACGUCGUCGCAUUGCUUUCAAACAGAAGAAGCCUUUGUUGGCUGUGGACUGGGCAAGGUGAGUGUGCCUUUGGAGGACGCUAGAGCAUGCCAAGCACUGAGGCGAGACUGGGUGAAAGCUUUCUUUUAGGGAUGGCACAACUACGCUUGUUGCAGAGUAUGGGCCAAGUGGAUGACGUCGGCUUUGGUGAUGUCUCCACGCCUCCUCGGCAUGGAUGGUGUUGACUGUUGUGGCGUCUUCCACAUGGCUGGAUGGCUAGCUACCCGUGAAGCGCUUGUUGGCUGUGGACUUGCAAGGUGAGUGCCUUGGAUGACGCUAGAGCAUGCCAAGCACUCAGGCUAGACUGGACAAAAGAUUGUUUUCAGGGAAGGCACAACGUUGCUUGCUGCAGAAGUGGCCGAUUCUUUGAGGUCGCCUAACAUUUUACAAGCUUGAGUUUUGCAACUGCGGUGGUGGUGGCUUAUUUUACAUAUUUCAGCGUUGUUGACUUGAUGCAUGCUUUGUGCUUCAGAUUUGAAGCACAACACUGACAAUAAUAGCCGCACGGCCCAUAGUUUGGUGUUGGUGCCACAUCGGCGUUGGCUCCCAUGAAUGAUGACUCUGCUACCACUACUUAUGCUAUUUAGUUUGACUCGAACGACGCUACAUUGCUUUGGAACGGAAUCUUUGUUGGAUGUGGACUUGGCAUGGUUAACGUGCCUUAGAGGACGCUAGAGCAUUGGCAAGCACUGAGGCCAGACUCGACGAAAGCUUGCGACAGGAUGCAAUCCCGGGCCAGCCUUCAUAUAUUAGUUGGAUGUGGACCACACAAGAUGAGCGUGCCUUGGAGGAUGGUAGAGCAUGCCUAGCACUGAGGCCAGACUGGGCGAAAGCUUGCUAUGUGGGACAUCACACCUGCACUUGCUGCAGAGUGUGGGCCAAGUGAACGACGUCGGCUUUGGUGAUGUCUCCCUGGCAUGGACGGUGUUGACUGGCGACGUCUUCCACAUGGAUGAGGAUGACUGGCUACCUGUGGCCCCCCUGCCCCUGCCUCCUAUCCAGCGUGUGGACAGGCUUUAUUGUGCUGACGGGUGGCUACUUCCUCCUCCCCUCCUAGCUAAGCCAACGUGGUGAGCUUCCCCUCUCUACCCCAGGAUAUGAAUAGCACGCGCAGUUUGCAUGUUUUGUUUUUUGGGGUGACCUGAGAGCAUAAACGUGAGUAGGGUUUUAGAGUAGACGACUCUCUUGUGUUGGUUUUGCCUUGAGAGGGGCAACCUUUCAUUUUGGCUUGGAAUUUUGGUUGUUACAUGGAGCUCACCUCAAAUGUAUGUGUAUAUGAGCCUAUAUAUGCUACAAAUCUUUGGUUGUUAUCUUAAGUUUCUCCCAUCAGAUGCAAAGAAAUGUGAUUGUGAUCUGUAUAUUGAUAGUACCACGUCUAUAUUUAUUUUCCGCUGCAUGAAAUUCCAUAAUGCACAUAUUCAUUGUUCUUCAUGCUUUUGGAGAUAUGCUGAACUAUUUCUUUGCCUUAUAUUGCUUGUUCACAUUAUACUAUACACACGCAUCAGUCUUGUGUUUGAAGUGGCUACUAAAUGUGCUGACCGCACAAAGUUACUAUUUUUUUAAGUGAGGGAAAUAUUGGAAGCUCUCAGUGAAGGCAUUUUUGCAAAAUGGCGUGUUUGGGUCUAAAUAAAGAGCCAACCAGAGGUAGUUAUUGUUUUCUUUGAGUUGGGUUCAGAUAGCUUUAACAAAUUAUUUCUGUAAAGAUGUGUCAAGUGCCUUUUGGAGCAAGUUUAGUAUAUAUUCAGGUCAUGUGAUUUUGUAUUAUUCCAUACUAGUCACCUAUGUUAAGUCCAGGUUCACUAGGAGUGAUCGGAAUUUGCACAAGCACCUCCCUGUGUUCAAAUAAGGUAUGUUUUGUAUUGGCCAAAUGUUAAGUGCAUCCUUGUCUGUUUUGAGCUUCAAUAAAACUUUUUCAGGGGCUUGCUGUGCAGGGUGUACUUAAAUAACCAGGGGUUCAUUUUACAAAGUCUUUUGAUCUUUUUGCAUCCUUUAUUGAUUGAAUCGUAAACCAUGUACUUCACUGUGUUCACGUGUAGCAUGAGCAUGACUAGUUUCCAUACCUUUUAUAUGAUUGUUUGUUCUCUGUGAUGCCUCCUUCCUUGAUUAACAGCCUAAAGCUGUUGCCUUGUGACCAUGAGGUCACGAGCAUUGUUUAUAAAGCGUCCCGCUUUAGACGCGCCGCUUAAGCGGCAGGGCGCCCUUGCAGCGCCUUAGAUAUUUGCCCGCUUUAGGCGCUUAGUCGUCGCUUAAACGUUAGAGCAUGUUGUGCUCGCUUUAGGUUGUUUACCGCCUUAUAAACCAUGGUCAUGGGUUCGAGUCCUGGAAACAGUCUCAUGCAGAAAUGAAGGGAAAUGCUGUGUACUAUAGACCCAUAGUGGUCAGACCCUUCCCCGGACCCUGCUCAAGUGGGAGCUACGUGCACCGGGCUGCCCUUUAUUUUCUGCGAUGCCUCCUUCCUUGAUUAACAGCCUAAACAGAUCAUAUAUUCUGACAAAGCAUGCGAAAAUCUGAAUUGAACAUCGGUCCACGAUGGCUUUCAGUGGGUCUCUCGUCUUAGCUUUCCUGCUUGAAAUGUAAACCAUGUACUUGUUGGGUUCAUUGUUUGCGUAAGUAUGACCACUUUUCUUACCUUUGCAUGCUUCUGUGUUUGAUGUGCUGUAUCAAAAGGACAGUAUAUGAGUAAGGUUAGCUUUUGAAAAAGGCCUCCUUCCUUGAUUACACAUCCUAAACUGAUCAUAUAUUCUGAGCAAACACCCUUCCAUGGUUUCCGUUAUAGUGUUUUGUUUUUUGUUUUCUUGCAUUGAAAUGUAAAACAUAUGCUUUACUUGUAUCAUGUGUUAACUUAGUUGUUUGCGGUGAUGAAUCACAAGGACUGUAUAUGAGUAAGUUGGCUCUUGGAAAAGGCCAACUUCCUUGAUUAGAAAUCCUAAACUGAGACCAUUCCCUUCUUGUGAAAUUGCCUUUGGUUUAUGUUUUGAACUCUUUCUUUGUAUUUUAGGUAACAAGGGAAGAGCAGCCGCACAUGGAGCCUUUGGUUUCCCCUUUGUAUGUCUCCAAUAAGCCAAAGGUGAAGGCCAGACACGGGAUGCCUGGGUCAUCGUCACUUCCGAGCAAAAAGACAAGAGCAGGAACUGCAGAUAUAGCAAACACUGGUUGGAAAGGAGGAACGCCGCGGAAGCUCAGGCCAGGCACAGGCAGGGCCUUGCAUUGUGAUGUGGCUGUUGUGAAACAGUAUGACUGGCCAAUUUUUUGUUUGGCAUUUGGGCUGUGUGGUGGGCUUCCAGAGAGAGAUGAAGUCAUCUACAUCGAGCAUACCAGUGAUUGGCAGUCAUGUUUCUACCGCAGCAAGCAAUGGAGGAUCAUCAAUCAUGUUUGUGUUUGUCUACGCCAAGACGCGCAGCAGCCACGGAUGGGAGUUUCCAUUUCACUUUUCUUAUUUGUAAUCCUUAAGCAUUGGGUUUGGAUGCUUGCUUGUAUAGAGGGAGCGAAUUCUGUUUCGGUUUAGAGCUUUUUGCUUUCACGAUAAAGCAGUGGCCUGAGGCCAGAAAAUUGGCUGUGUAUGUGUGUAGGCGAAUAAGGAUAAGAGGUUGAAGUAGUAGCCGGCUACUAGAUUGAAACAAGUUGUCUUUUGGAUAUCCUUCCUGGCAUAUGGCAU